rnacentral:rRNA from 1 species
UUUUAUGAGAGUUUGAUCCUGGCUCAGGACGAACGCUGGCGGCGUGCCUAAUACAUGCAAGUCGAACGCUUCUUUUUCCACCGGAGCUUGCUCCACCGGAAAAAGAGGAGUGGCGAACGGGUGAGUAACACGUGGGUAACCUGCCCAUCAGAAGGGGAUAACACUUGGAAACAGGUGCUAAUACCGUAUAACAAUCGAAACCGCAUGGUUUUGAUUUGAAAGGCGCUUUCGGGUGUCGCUGAUGGAUGGACCCGCGGUGCAUUAGCUAGUUGG